ACCCCGAACUUUUAACUAAUUUUAUUAUUUGCCAAUCAUGUUUCUUAGCUUAAUUUUGUCCUAACUAUUUUUCGAAAUGAUCAUGUUAAGGUUAUUUCUAAAAUAUACUAAAUUUAGUUUAAUUAUUUUAAAAGUUAUGUUAUGAUGGUGAUGAUUUACUUAUAAUGCAGUGUAUAGUUUUCAUAUCUUCUUGACUUUGGAAAAUCACCAUGACCACACAACUCAUCUUCUUACUCAAGCUCCAUGACCUUGCUCCCCAAGGCUUCUAGAACUCCUUGCUCCCCAAGUAUUCUUCACCAUUAAGUCUUCAUUAGUUUAAUGGAGUUUUUCUUCCUAAAACCACUAUAAAUAGCGGGUUAAUUCCACAUUUCUCAUCCACUUGAAAAUUAUAAACUAUAACCAAAACCUCCAUUUACACCAUCAAAUAAAAAUCUGAAUUUCCAUUGAUGUGUCUUAUUCUUUUUAAGUACCCAUGAAUGGCCCUAAAUACCCACUCUCUUUCUCCUUUAAUUUUAGGUUGUUGUACUGUUUUUCCCCAAUAUCAUCUUCUUAAAGUUAGAAUCUGCAUAUACUUCUUUCAUGAAAGUUGUAGAUCGUGAAAAGUUAUUGAAUUUAGACCCAAAGAUCAUCUGAUUCGGAGUUCGGAGUAAAGAGUUAGACCCUCUGUAUGGCAAAGCAUAUGCAAGGGUGAUAUUAUGGAUUAUGUUGAAGUGACUCUACACAUAUUUGGGAUAUUUAGAAUACUAUGUAUUAAGAGUAAUCAUUAUUGCUCUAGCUGAGAGUUUGUAUAUUUUUAGAGACCAUUUUAAGGCUAUUAUUUUAUUUA